AUUAUAUCAUCACCUACAGACCAGGUGAUCGUAACACUAAAGCCGACGCUCUGUCCAGACAAUUCGAAACUACCGACAAACAAGAGUUUGAUGAUACCCCUGUCAUUCCCCCGGACAGAAUAAUAGCUACUACAGUUCUAUCUAUUUCUUCUUCACUCUUGCAAGUUAUACAGGCUAAACAAAACAUGGCACCCAGAGAGAGACCUGCUGAUAAACUGUUCGUUGAUGUUCCCGAAAGACGGGACAUU